CAACUAUAGCAUUCUGUGUUCUAAGGUUCCUUGCAGUUCUAAUAUUCUGUGGGUAUUAUGAUACAUGAGCUUUGAGGAUUUCAUACAAAAAAGUGACAGCUUCUUUAAAAAAAAAUCUUGACUGGCCUCUGUUUCCCUUUCUUCUACCCUGGGAUAAUUCAAUGUGUCCACCUUUUCUGGGGUGGCAUGACAAGAGAAUGUCAGAGGAGCAGAAACAGAGGAAGGGGAUGAUGUUGUCUCUUCACUCCAGGGACAUCUCUAUUCUUUCUUCCUUAGCUUUCUUCCUUAGUUCCUGUUCUGAAUUUCUCUUGUAGUUGAAAAUUGUAAUUAGUUAAAUUGAAAGCUACCUGAAAUUGACAUCAAGAGAACUGGAAAUUCAUUCAGACUGUAGUAGGGCUCUAAAACUGAAUCCUAUUCCAUUUUGGAGACCACUUUUCUCCUAGCUGAACUAUCAACAUCCACCAGAUGUUUCUCUCCACCGGACAGAAACCUAACAAAAAUCUUUGGCUCUCCUAUGAACUCCAUUUGCCCCAUUUCUCCUUUCAAUUCUGAUAACAUUAUAUCAAGAUGGACAUGUAAUCAUUCACUGGAUUGUGACUUAAUCUUAUUAGACUUGAGUUUCAUUCAAUGCAAGUAUCUCCUUGAUGGGGUUCCAGAAUACAUUUUGUUCGCAUUAGCAACACAUUCACAAACCACCUCUUAGACCUGGAUGUGUCACUCCUCUUAAUCUUAGGUGGCUCCCUAUUGUCUAGAGGAUAAUGUUAAAAGUCUAGCAUUCAGGGUUGAAUCUGGCACCACCCUUCCAUUCCAGACUUAUUUCAUAAUUCUAUCCCUCGCUGUGCUGGGACUUGACUACUCUCUGUCCCCAAAAAAUGGCAUACAUUCCUUUUUGGGCAUGCUACUCCCUGUGCCUGGCAUGGGCUCUUUCCUUCUUCCCCUUUAAAGUCUCAAAUCAAGUGUCACCCAUUACAUGAAGCUUUUACUGAUCCUUCUAAGUUGGUAAUGACCUUCUCUGACUGAUCUCACAUAAUAUGUGGCUUUGAGCCUCACUCAAGCUAAUCUAGAACUACACUGCAUUGUAAUUUUUGUCUUCCUGUCUUACCUCUUCCCCACUCAGGCUGUAAACUCCAAGAGGACAGGGGCUCUGGUUUAUCUAACCUUAGUAUCUCCCCAACCUCAACUCCCAGCAAGUGCUUUUCAAAUAGUAGGUGCCUCAUGUCUGCUGAACUGAAUUGUAUAAUUGAAUUCUGUGUCUCAUGCCAAUCUCAUUCUGUGUUUUGAGGAAGGGAUUUGGACAUUUUAAAACACUUUAUACGUAUGAACCAUUUUCAUUAUUAUUAUUUUCUGCUUAUUACAUCCUUUAGUUUUAAUUAUAGCCAUACUUCAUUUUAUUGUGCUCUGCAGAUAUUGCAUUUUUUACAAAUUUAAGGUCUGAGCAACCCUGCAUCAAGCAAGUCUCACAUUGUGUCUCUCUCUAUGCUAUAUUUUAGUAAUUCUUGUAAUAUUUCAAACUUUUUCAUUAUUAUUAUUUCUGUUGUGUGAUCUGUGAUGAAUGAUCUUUGAUGUUACUAUUGUCAUUGUUUUGGGGCACCACACCCACAUAAGGCAGUGAAUUUAUUUGAUAAAUGUGUAUGUUCUGACUGUUCCACUGACCUGCCAUUCCUCAUCUCUCUCUUGCUCUCCUUGGGCCUUCCUAUUUCCUGAGACACAAAAAUAUUGAAAUUAGGCCAAUUAAUAACCCAACAAUAGCCUCUAAAUGUUCAAGUGAAGAGUCAAUUGAUAAAGCAAACUUCAUUGUCGUCUUAUUUUAAGAAAUUUCCACAGCCACCCCAGCCCUUCAGCAACCACCACCCUGAACAGUCAGCAGCCAUCAAAGUCAACGCAAGACCCUCCACCAGCAAAAGGAUUACACUCGCUGAAAGCUCAGAGCUUUUAGGAUAGCUGCUUGAUCGCCCUUCAUCUACUCUGUCCUGAUGUGUCUUCAUGGUCAUGGCCAAGUCUACUAUGUUCCCUACUGACUCUGCCAUGCUAAUAAGGCCACAGGCUCAGACAGAACAACCUUCUAGAAGUACUUGGCUACUUCAGUGACCCAAGUAGCAGAACCGUGCCAGAUAUGGAUGAAGAAGCACCAUCUUGGUUUUCUCCCAAAGAGGGUCUGGGACCACAUAUGUACUUCUUCAAAGCAAAAAACACAAGAAACAACCUCUGACUCCUACUCGACAUACAGUGUUGAGUAAUCAUUCCCUUCACCAGUGAAGAAAGACUCAUCUAACCAGCACCCCAAUAGCACCACUGGGCUUUGAAACCCGGGUGACGCAUGCAAUUGUCUUGCCUGACACCACCACCACCAAUAACCUUAUUAUUGGAAGGAAGGUGCUACAGGUAGUAUCAUGUCAAUUUUACAGCUGAGAAAACUGAAGUUCAGAGAGUUUGAUUGACUUGUCCAUAAUCACACAGUUAGAAAAUGUCAAAGACAAGAGUUGAACUCAGGAGGAGAAUCUUAGAACUUAGUGGCCAUGUAGUCCAACUCAUACUUGAAAAGGAUCUCUCUCUCUCUCUCUCUAAAACUUCCCUCUCAAGCAGUCAUCCAGUCCUUUCUUGAAGAUAUAAAAUAAGGGGGAAACCAGUCUUCCUAGGUGGUCCUAUUACUGCAGGAUAGUGCUAAUCAUUAGCAAGGAUUUCCUUCCAUCAAAUCUCUAUUUCCAUCUUUGCAGUUUCCACCCAUUGAUCUUAAUUUUGCUUUCUGGGGCCAAGUAGAACAAACCUAAUCCCAUCUUCCCUUCAAAUACUGGAAGACAGCUAUCCUGAUCCCCCUGAGUCUUCCCUUCUCCAGGCUAAACAUUUUGAUUUCCUCCAUCCAAUUCUCAAAUGGCAUGAACUCAAAGUUCUGGCAAGGGCCCAGGUCUCUGCUGACUCUGAGUCCAACAUUUGUCCCACUAAAUCAUGCUCCAUCUUUGAAAGCAUAGAGAUUUCAGUUGGUUUGCUGAUCUGCUUGUUUUUCUCUUUCUUUUUAAA